rnacentral:rRNA from 1 species
GACGAACGCUGGCGGCGUGCCUAAUACAUGCAAGUCGAGCGGACCUUUCGGGGUCAGCGGCGGACGGGUGAGUAACACGUGGGCAAUCUGCCCGAUACUCUGGGAUAACGCUUGGAAACGAGUGCUAAUACCGGAUGGUCUUCUUGGCCGCAUGGCCGAGAAGGAAAAGACGCGUUCGCGUCGGUGUCGGAUGAGCCCGCGGCGCAUUAGCUAGUUGGUGAGGUAACGGCCCACCAAGGCGACGAUGCGUAGCCGACCUGAGAGGGUGAUCGGCCACACUGGAACUGAGACACGGUCCAGACUCCUACGGGAGGCAGCAGUAGGGAAUCUUCCGCAAUGGGCGAAAGCCUGACGGAGCAACGCCGCGUGAGUGAUGAAGGUCUUCGGAUCGUAAAACUCUGUUGUUAGGGAAGAACAAAUUUGUUAGUAACUGAACAAGUCUUGACGGUACCUAACCAGAAAGCCACGGCUAACUACGUGCCAGCCGCCGCAGUAACAC